GAUGAACGCUAGCGGCAGGCUUAAUACAUGCAAGUCGAGGGGCAGCAUGACUGUAGCAAUACAGUUGAUGGCGACCGGCAAACGGGUGCGGAACACGUACGCAACCUACCCAAAACUGAUGAAUAGCCCUCCGAAAGGAGGAUUAAUACAUCGUAACAUAGUUGAAUGGCAUCAUUUGAUUAUUAUAGCUCCGGUGGUUUUGGAUGGGCGUGCGCCNGAUUAGGUAGUUGGUAGGGUAACGGCCUACCAAGCCAACGAUCAGUAACUGGUGUGAGAGCACGACCAGUCACACGGGUACUGAGACAC
rnacentral:rRNA from 1 species